UGGGCUGGCUGGCAGACAGAAGCCUGGGACAGGGCCUCAGGAGCAUCCUGCCAACAUCCUUAAGAAAAAAAUAAACAAACACAUACCAACUUGUCCCCCACCCCCACCCCCAAAGAACUCACAUGGCAGGGCUCAAAACACAACAACAGCCCGAUUCCCAUUAGCUCAGACAAUCCUAUUAACCAGGACAGCCAUAAAUUCAUAAACCUCUACAACCCUCGAGCAAGCACUGCGGUCUGGAACUGUACAGACACACGCAGACACAGAGGAAAUUUGCACCUGUCUUUCUUGACACAACACACCUGUCAGGCCCUGCCCAUGCGCACUCUAAUAGACUUCUGCCUACCUAGUUUAGGAAAGGAAAUGAUUUUUUUUUAUAUAUAUAAGGGAGAGCAUGGGUGGAAAAGGAGAUAGAGAGAGACAGAGGAAACAAGAGGAGAGAUUCUUCUAGCCUUGACUUUGAGAGGAGGCCACCCUGUGCUUGCUCUGUUUUUAUAAGCUCAAGGAGACAACACAGACCUUCUUGGAAAAAUAAAAACAAGCAGCUCUGCCCUCUGUCUGCCUGGAGAGCCCUCAACUUCCCAAGAAGCUGGGAAGGGCCCAGAGAGCUGGGAGCCUGUGGAAAGCUGCUGCCCCCUUUACGACCCCCAUCACUCUCCCCACCAACGUGCAGUUUUAGCAGGAGGAGAAACCGGCGGCCACACGAGAAGAACGGACAACUUGCUAAACUGGACUUUGGCCUCGACAGCGUUUGGAGCGGAAAGUAAUAGAGCGCCCCCCAUCCUCUGCUCCCCACUCCCGGCCCUGCGCUGGGGUUAAAAAAGGAGAAGUGAAAGGUAUGCAAAUGGCAAGCAAAUUGGAAGAGCCGGGGAAGAAAGGCAGCUAUAAUAAACAAGACAAAGAGAAAGGACGGGAGACUAGCCCCGGAGUUUGAACCCGGGGGAGAAGGGGAGGACGAGGGGCUCGGCGGAAAGCGGGCACCUAGAGGAACAAAAAGCGACCCGGUGCCCCUCGCGGUCCUGCCUCCCGAGAAGAGAGGGCAAGAGAAAGAAGGAAAGGAAGCAAGCGCCUCCUCGGACCCCAGAAACAGUACACAAAAGAGAGAGGGAAGAAAACACGCGCGCGCACACACGGUGGUAUCUUGCGGGUGAUGACUGUGAUAAUUGGACGAGGGACGGGUCCCACGGGAACAGAAAGUUUUGAGGGAGUUUACUGUUUGUGCAAGAUGACUGGUUGGGUAAAGAAGUCAAAAGUGUUUUAUCUGCAGAACAAAUAAAGCCCGGGCAAAGGAGAAGACAGGAUGGAGCACGGAAGCUAAAGAAGACUUCAGAAAGGAAGUUUGAAUGAUGCAGGAUCUAAGGUGCUAGGAAGCUCGGAGCUGGCAGAACCUAGAACUCAGAGCCAGCUUUUACGAUGUGCUGAUGGCAACCCAGCACUGAGAAGAGGAGUGUCCAUAGGAGACCUAGGGACUUGCUGCAAGGGAGAUGGACUCUGUUACCCAGGGACACUUUGUGCAGCCAGCAGUUCUUUAGUGCCCAAACGCAACCUUGAAGCUUUAAUUUGGAAGGAUGGCAACUCAUUAACAGCGCUCCCCAAAUGAUAAUAUGAAAACCAAUAAAAUUCCCCAUCAAGGACAACUUCUCCCAGCUCCUUGCGUGG